UAAAUCAGUUCUCGUAGUUAAGAUAAGAUCCGUCGUAAGUCAUUCAAAACAGUGGUCCAGUCUAACUUAGUCACGUGACGCGCACUUGUCAGAAGGAAACAACAACAACAAAGUGUGCUAAAAAAAUAAACUUGCGAGGAAAAUUAAAGUUUUUGAUAGUAUUUCAGCUAAUUGUGACAUUAAGCAAUGAUAUUUCAACGACUUCUUUUGGUAGAAGCUGAGUUUUCUCAAUUCAUACGUCAUAUUAUAGGGUAAGAACGCUGUACGAUGCAAUGGCAAUAUUUCGUCUCAGUGGUGAAUUCGGACAACAUUUCAGCUGACUGGGAAAAGUGGAAGAAAAGCACAGAUAUAUGAAAUGUACAAAUGGGGGAAAAGCAAAAGAUCACAGAGAACCCUGGAUCUCAGUUUGGGUCUUCCUUGGUGGAAAUGUUUUGUCUGAAGCCGAUGAUUUAGUAUAAUACAGUCCACUUCAACCAGACUGGAGAGAAGACACAUGCAACUAUCUGGCACCAGAUUAAGCAAUUAGUGGUGUACAUGUAUGUCAAACUUUUGAUGAAGGAUGACAGAAAGUUGGACUUUUAUAGUCUGGUUUGAUUUUUAACUGAUUGAGUGACUGGUAAAACAAAUGGUUUGUAUGGCAUGGCUGAACAGAAUAGACUGGCUAUCUCGUCAGCAGAAACUUAACAUGUACUAAACUGUUACCUGAAAUUUACUAAGAGAAUAUGUACACAUGAAACUAGAUAUCCAGUGGAGUACUUCAAAAGACAGUCUGGUUCUGUUUCUUCAUGGAACACUAAAAAAAAGCCUUUCACCCUGACAUUUAAGCAAGUGUAAAGAAUACCUUAUUGAAGUUCUUCAGUAAAGAGACCACAAAAAUAGAGGGACAUGCUGUACUACAACUUGUCAAACAGACCAUUAUAGCUGUCACAAAAUGGAGCAAACACUCAUAUCUGAAUAAACAUCAAAGUGCCCAGUGCUUAGCUUGAUUUCCUUACUAAAACAUGAUGCAAAUCAAAUGUUUAAAAGUUAUACAAUUUUUAUAUGUUUUAGCCUUCUACGUGAAAACAGGAAUCGUUGUAAUUCGGAAGUGAUGUCAGUAAAGUUGGACAUAAAAAGACCACAGUAUGAUAUACUGUAAUUACCAGUGAAGGAAACAGUAGUGCCACAAGAAACUAUUCAAUAUAUUUAUUUGGAAAAAUAAAAAAAAUAUAAUAAAACUGAAGUUAUCAUGUACAGUCAUUAUUCAGGAUUUCAGAGGGGACUGAUUUUCUGAAACUAUUGCAGUUUAGUAGCCAAGCACUUACUUAAACUGUUGUAAUAGAUCACAAUUUAUUAUAGAUUAUUAUAAAAAAUUCUUAUUAUCAGAUUGGUGGAAAUUUGAAAGAGUGGCUGUUGACACCUUAUUUGUGACUAGUGAAUUAAAAACUAAUAACUAGUAAGAUUCUUCUGGGAAACAAAUUGUCAUAAUGCCUUUUGAGCACAUGCAAACAUCUUUAGAUAUAGUAAAGCAUGUACU